CAGAUAAAUUUUCCCCUCCACCUGUGCAGCUGACUAUUCAGGGUGUGCUCCAUGGGACUUCAUGCUGGCUCAGCAAGGGCCCAGCUGCUUUCGAGGCUUUCUGGAAUGUGGAGGUGGCAGGAAUGUGAACACGCUUUCUGGUGAAGACCUGUGGGAAUUCAAGGAAGUUCACAAGACAAGUAUUGGAUUCAUCAGAACAGUCAGGUUUUAAGAUGAAGAGAUUCUAGGUUCUUGCUCACGGUUUUACAGCCUCAUCUUACUUGCUCACUGCAAUAAAUUCAUGAGCUAUCCACAAGAAAAUCAGUUAUCAUCACAAAACUCGGUUGGAAGCUGCACUUCCCUAAUAUACCCAGUCCCUGGCUUUUCACUCAUGAACUACAUAUAACAGAAGUUCUGUCUACCCUACCUUUGCUGCAUUUUCCACUGGCAAAUCCUGGCUACACAGACAUGCAAUUGAGCAUUACUUAAUUAUCACACUCUUUUCUUACAUACCUAAGCACUAGAACCAAACUAUGAACAAACCUGAAUAAGAUUUCAGAUAGUGGAAAAACAUUAAGAGCUGAAGUUUGCUGUAUAUCUUCUUAAAGCAAACAGUGUGGCAUGAAGAAAAUGUUGGACUUCAUUCUAAAGUGCUUUGAUCGUACCCCCCCACCAAUGUAAUCAUUCCACUUUCUUUUUCUUCAUCAUUCCCCUUUCUCACUUGUAAGACACAUUACCACAAAAACCUGCACCAAUAUAACUACAUACUCUGGAAAUACUUUUAUUUCCCAAUUCUUUAAUCUAAGCUGCUAAGCUCUGUUCUCACACUCAAAUAACCAAUAGCUGUGGAAGACAGCUAGAGCCAGAGUGUCCAUGUCAGCUACAGAAAAGAAGAUGACAUUGGGAAAAGAUAGCUUCAGCAGACAAAAGCUUCCUUGGCCUGUGAUUUUCAAGUUCUAAGAGCCAAGGGCUAGAUUUAAAUCAAGAUAAACUCUGAACAUUAUGAUUCAGUUGUUAAAACCUCAAGAUUUUUCUAGGCAUCUCAGCAAAUACAUUAUACUUACUGAACAAUAUCUUGCAAAUCAAGGUUACAGAAUGCUUCGCAAGCUAUUUUCUCUGCAUUGUAGAAAGUGAAUGAAAUAGUCUUCAAAUCGAGGCCUUAUUACUUUUCAUGAAGCAAGGGGCUACAUGUGUUACAUGUUAGGAAGAACCUUUUCAGACACUUAUUUCCAGCAUUUCAGGAAUCCCAACAAAAAAAAAUCCAUUGGUACUGUAAUGUUACCAGGUCUCAUUUAACUGAGGAAAAUUUAAAAGAAAGCUGGCUGUGUCAUGGCAUGCUGUCUCAGAACAAAACAAGAUGAGGUAAACACUUCUGAAGGUCCCUCAGUAUAACACGCAACUAUUCAAAACAGACUAUGGUGAGAAUGGCAGGAUGUUCCAGUUCAUCUGUGUUUGUAGAGUCCCAGACAUCACAGGGUCUUAACUCACAAUCAGGGUUCAGAGAACAUGGAUAGAGGCCUCUGUGGCUGUAUCACAACACUAAGAAGUGCACUACAUGCUUCCAGAAUAAAUCUGGUACUCAGGACAGCUGUAUACUUUUCCAUCAUGAAGCACAAUACCCUCCAGUCCUGCUCUGAGGACAGGCCAAAUUUAGUAAUAAGCUGUCCUCUGUGUUCCCUCUCACACAGCGGAGAUACAAGCAGGGUAGAAAGAUAAGAAACUGCCUUUUCCCACCUUCUAUUUCCCCCUCAACUGCAAGGCCCUAGGAUCUAUAGCAAUACAAAUAACACUUCAACCAAAGAAGCCAGCCAACUCAGUAGAUGCAGGUUUGAACCCUGGUUUUACAGAACGUGUGAGAUCAUCAUCACCUGGUCACAUUCAAAUUGCACAAUGGAAAAUGACACAAUGAAAGUCUUCACACAGCAACUAAAGUAAGUCUGGGCCCUCCAGGUAGUACACAGCUAUACUGACAUAGAAA